rnacentral:rRNA from 1 species
AUUGAACGCUGGCGGCAGGCCUAACACAUGCAAGUCGAGCGGAUGAAGGGAGCUUGCUCCUGGAUUCAGCGGCGGACGGGUGAGUAAUGCCUAGGAAUCUGCCUGGUAGUGGGGGAUAACGUCCGGAAACGGGCGCUAAUACCGCAUACGUCCUGAGGGAGAAAGUGGGGGAUCUUCGGACCUCACGCUAUCAGAUGAGCCUAGGUCGGAUUAGCUAGUUGGUGGGGUAAAGGCCUACCAAGGCGACGAUCCGUAACUGGUCUGAGAGGAUGAUCAGUCACACUGGAACUGAGACGCGGUCCAGACUCCUACGGGAGGCAGCAGUGGGGAAUAUUGGACAAUGGGCGAAAGCCUGAUCCAGCCAUGCCGCGUGUGUGAAGAAGGUCUUCGGAUUGUAAAGCACUUUAAGUUGGGAGGGAGGGCAGUAAGUUAAUACCUUGCUGUUUUGACGUUACCAACAGAAUAAGCACCGGCUAACUUCGUG